UGAUUGGGCCAGCCCAGUGUGAGUAUGGAAAAUGAACUAAUGGGCCGCUGUCCAUGCUUUAUGGGCCGGUCGUUGGCCAAUAAAAAAAUCAUUUAUAUUCACCGGCCCCCAAGGACGUCGGCCCACCGGGCAUUUGCCCGGUAUGCCAGAUUACCAGUCCAGCCCUGAACAGGAGGAAGUAGAGGAGUAACAGGAGGAAGUAGAGGGGUAACAGCAGGAAGUAGAGGCGUAACAGGAGGAACUAGAGGAGGAACAGGAGGAGGAACAGGAGAAACUAGAGAAGGACCAGGAAUUGGUGGUGGAGGAGAACAAUAUGGAGUACGGCUACCAGAAGGAGCAGGAGGAAGUAGAGGAGGAGGAGGGGGAGAAAGUAAAGGAGGACCAGUAGAAACUAGAGGAGGAGGGGCCAGGUUUGUGGAUGAGAAAUAUGCACAGCUUGUUGCAAGGGUGACAUCAGUGAUGGCAUUGGCAGAUUAUUUGAAAAGUAACAACAUGAUACAUGAAGAAACUUACUCAGAGAUCAGGGCAGAAAGGACCAACCAAGAGAAAAUGAGGAAGCUUUAUGAAGCACUGAACUCUGGAGGAGACAAUGUUAAAAAUGCCUUUUAUAAUGCACUACGCAAACAUGAACCAUACCUCCUCGAAGACCUGGGUGGAGGGCUGAACCUGACCUGACCCAUUAAUCCUCAGUGCCUGCCAAAUUUUGCUGACGUGGCAGCGGCCUCAGGCUCCGACACCAAUGGAGGGUUCAACUUCUGACGGAUCAAAUUGAAGAGGAUUCAGUCUGAACAAUUUGUGGAAUUUAUUAAAAAAUAUUUACUUCAUUAAA